UACAGAGGAGCCAAGCGUUGUCCGGAUUGACUGGGCGUAAAGCGCACGCAGGCGGCCGCGCGCGUGGGGUGUGAAAUCUGGCCGCUUAACGGCCAGGCGCCAUCCCAUACGGCGCGGCUGGAGCCAUGCAGAGGCGGUGGAAUUGCCGGUGUAGUGGUGAAAUGCGUAGAGAUCGGCAGGAACACCCAGGGGGAACAGCCGCCUGGGCAUGCGCUGACGCUAAGGCGCGAAAGCGUGGGGAGCGAA
rnacentral:rRNA from 1 species